UAAUAAUUACAAUUAUUAUAACAAUAUUUUCUUCAACUACGCGUAUAAAUACACCUUUCUAUCCUCCCAAAGAAGCAGGCAUUAGAUUACAGUUUUUAAUUAUACAGUAAUUUUAAACUAAUUUUCAAUGGCAAACAAUAAUUUGAAGUCGUUCAUGGUGAUUCUCUUCCUCUCCGUCGUCGUUUUAUCUCCCAUCUUGCCAACUAGCGAUGCAGCUCGAUUUACAGCUGGUGUGUUGACGAGCGGCCCCAUAUGCCCGGCUUGUGUAUGCUGCAAACCCCCACCACCGGGGUUGUGUUGCAAGUGUUGUUCGUCUCCUUCUGUCCUUAAUUCGGUGGAGACUAGCAAUGGAUCUCCGUAAUAUUCACUUAAAAUAAAAUGUAAGCUCGGUAUCAAUAAAUGUUUACAAAGAAAUAACUUAUUAUA